UUCUGAUAAGCUAGUUGGUGGGGUAAUGGCCACCAAGGCGACGAUCAGUAGCUGGUCUGAGGAGGAUGAUCAGCCACACUGGGACUGAGACACGGCCCAGACUCCUACGGGAGGCAGCAGUGAGGAAUUUUCCGCAAUGGGCGAAAGCCUGACGGAGCAAUACCGCGUGAGGGAGGAAGGUUCUUGGGUUGUAAACCUCAAAACUUAGGGAAGAAGAAAGUGACGGUACCUAAUAUAAGCAUCGGCUAACUCCGUGCCAGCAGCCGCGGUAAUACGGAGGAUGCAAGCGUUAUCCGGAAUCAUUGGGCGUAAAGAGUCUGUAGGUGGCAUUUAAAGUCUGCUGUCAAAGACCGAAGCUCAACUUCGGGCAGGCGGUGGAAACUGAAAAGCUAGAGUAUAGUAGGGGUAGAGGGAAUUCCUAGUGUAGCGGUGAAAUGCGUAGAGAUUAGGAAGAACACCAGUGGCGAAGGCGCUCUACUGGACAUAUACUGACACUGAGAGACGAAAGCUAGGGUAGCGAAAGGGAUUAGAUACCCCUGUAGUCCUAGCGGUAAACGAUGGAUACUAGGUGUAGUCUGUAUCGACCCAGACUGUGCCGAAGCAAACGCGUUAAGUAUCCCGCCUGGGGAGUACGCACGCAAGUGUGAAACUCAAAGGAAUUGACGGGGACCCGCACAAGCGGUGGAGUAUGUGGUUUAAUUCGAUGCAACGCGAAGAACCUUACCAAGGCUUGACAUCCUGCGAAUUUUGGGGAAACUCAGAAGUGCCUUAGGGAACGCAGAGACAGGUGGUGCAUGGCUGUCGUCAGCUCGUGUCGUGAGAUGUUGGGUUAAGUCCCGCAACGAGCGCAACCCUCGUCCUUAGUUGCCAGCAUUAAGUUGGGGACUCUAGGGAGACCGCCGGGGAGAACUCGGAGGAAGGUGGGGAUGACGUCAAGUCAGCAUGCCCCUUACGUCUUGGGCUACACACGUACUACAAUGGUUGAGACAAAGGGAAGCGAAGCCGCGAGGUGAAGCGAAUCCCAGCAAACUCAGCCCCAGUUCAGAUUGCAGGCUGAAACUCGCCUGCAUGAAGGAGGAAUCGCUAGUAAUCGCAGGUCAGCAUACUGCGGUGAAUCCGUUCCCG
rnacentral:rRNA from 1 species